UAGAGUUUGGNUCUGGCUCAGGACGAACGCUGGCGGCGUGCCUAAUACAUGCAAGUCGUACGCUUCUUUUUCCACCGGAGCUUGCUCCACCGGAAAAAGAAGAGUGGCGAACGGGUGAGUAACACGUGGGUAACCUGCCCAUCAGAAGGGGAUAACACUUGGAAACAGGUGCUAAUACCGUAUAACAAUCGAAACCGCAUGGUUUUGAUUUGAAAGGCGCUUUCGGGUGUCGCUGAUGGAUGGACCCGCGGUGCAUUAGCUAGUUGGUGAGGUAACGGCUCACCAAGGCCACGAUGCAUAGCCGACCUGAGAGGGUGAUCGGCCACAUUGGGACUGAGACACGGCCCAAACUCCUACGGGAGGCAGCAGUAGGGAAUCUUCGGCAAUGGACGAAAGUCUGACCGAGCAACGCCGCGUGAGUGAAGAAGGUUUUCGGAUCGUAAAACUCUGUUGUUAGAGAAGAACAAGGAUGAGAGUAACUGUUCAUCCCUGACG
rnacentral:rRNA from 1 species